GUUUCCCUCAAGAAACUCAAGGUGGCGUAUGACAAAACGGUCAAUUCGGAUGGGGAGACUUUCAUGUUUGAAAAGACCAUGUUUUAUGUUUUUAAAUUCAGCCUCAACAUUUGCCGAGCUUGCUGUGUUGUGUACACUUUUGAAGUGUGGAACCAUCACAGCUGUCCAAAGAGAUCUGUGUGAAGUGUCUCCUCGACUCCAGUCACCUCUGUUAAAUGGUCAUCUUCAGUGACACAUGGCAAGACCCCCUCUGCAAAUCGUCUCUUCAAUUGUGCUUUGCAUGUUUCCGAGACAACAGCAUUCCCACCGGCUAAUGAGCUUG